rnacentral:rRNA from 1 species
GACGAACGCUGGCGGCGUGCUUAACACAUGCAAGUCGAGCGGUAAGGCUCCCGCGGGAGUACACGAGCAGCGAACGGGAGAGUAACACGAACGUAAGAUUCACCUGACUUCGGGAUAACCACAGGAGAAGGUAGCUAAUACCGAAUAGGACCAGUCUGCGCCUGAUGUGUGGGGGGAAAGUGUUUGCGGUGGAGGAGGUGCGCGCGGGCUUUCAGCCUGUUGGGGGGGUAAUGGCCUACGAAGGCUUCGACGGGUGGCCGGCCUGAGAGGGUGAACGGCCACACUGGGACUGGGACACGGCCCAGACUCCUGGGGGCGGCAGCGGUGGGGAAUAUUGGAGAGUGAGCGAAAGCCUGCUCCAGCGACGCCGCGUGGGGGGUGACGGCGUUCGGGUUGUAAACCUCUUUCAGUACCGACGAAGCGCCCUGUCGGGUGGUGACGGUAGGUACAGAAGAAGGGCCGGCCAACUACGUG